rnacentral:rRNA from 1 species
UGGGGAAUAUUGCACAAUGGGGGAAACCCUGAUGCAGCGACGCCGCGUGAGCGAAGAAGUAUCUCGGUAUGUAAAGCUCUAUCAGCAGGGAAGAAGAUGACGGUACCUGACUAAGAAGCACCGGCUAAAUACGUGCCAGCAGCCGCGGUAAUACGUAUGGUGCAAGCGUUAUCCGGAUUUACUGGGUGUAAAGGGAGCGUAGACGGAGAAGCAAGUCUGGAGUGAAAGCCCGGGGCUCAACCCCGGGACUGCUUUGGAAACUGUUUUUCUAGAGUGCCGGAGAGGUAAGCGGAAUUCCUAGUGUAGCGGUGAAAUGCGUAGAUAUUAGGAGGAACACCAGUGGCGAAGGCGGCUUACUGGACGGUAACUGACGUUGAGGCUCGAAAGCGUGGGGAGCAAACA